GACACCUUCUUAUGCUCUAUCUACCCUCAGGCCCUUCGCCUUCUUCAAACAUCGCAUUGUUCUUGCCAUCCCUCCAUUCUCGCCAAUGUCAGCGGUCUACCUAUGCUCUGUUCAACUACCCUCUGGCCCCCAUCCGCGCCCGUCUCCUUUCUGCCCACUCCUUAGAGUCCAUUGCCGCCUCUGGAAAUGAUCCACUCAACGCACCUCAUCUGGGACCCUCGAUCCAACAUGUUGCCUUCUGCCCCUAAGUUUCCCACCCAAUGCUUCGCAUCUUGUAAACAUCUGCGCCCUCUCUUCGCAUCCAUCCCUCUGUUUCACAUUUCGAUUUUUGCCUCGACUAGCCACUCCAUCUACAAUAGUCACCCUCGCCAACUCCCUAGCCCCCAACCUCGCCUUCUGCAUGCCAUACAACCCACGACCAACCCAGUAACACCAGACUGUCAGGUUUGAUUGCCUCUGCCUACCGAACCACGAACAUUCAACCGCCAGUGCCUUGUGGUCGAGUCCCACUGAAUUUCACGCCUCCAAUCGAUUAUAUCUACAAGUUUUUUCCCCUGUUCAUUGAUGCAAUGCACUAUGCAUUUGAGUCUAUCGUGUGUUUUCGGAUUGUUUGGUUGUGUAUCAAAUAAUUGCUCUUUAUCCUUAUGCAUGCCAUUGCCAAGCGCUAGCUAAAAUGCUCCUAAUGUUCCUCUUAUACACUAUUUUACAAUAGGUUUCUGUUUCUUCCAUAGCUCAAUAGAAUAGUGAAAUGCUACGGCCUUGACCAAUAGAGUACAAAGUUAAUAGAUUGUAGCGGAACAGGUUCAUGUAUUGCUUGCACCUUCUGUUGAUACCUUUCAAUAAAAGGAUUAUAUUUUAGCAUUAAAAUAUUAUUUUGUCCAUAAUUACUCUUUCUGUUUCUCUAUUUUUCAUUUUGGUAUCUUUUGUGUUGCAUCGGUUACAAGAUCACAUUUGAACUGCACAUGUGGAUAAGUUAUUCAAUUUAGCAUCUAAAAAAUGUAUUUAAUUUACCCUAGCAACACUACUGCUAGCUGUGCUUUUGUAGAUACUUUGCCAGGUAAAUAAGUCUUGGGUCAUGUAGAUGAUUUUAUGUUUUACUGUAUAUAGCUUAUAUAUGAAGCAAAUAAGUUUUAGGGAGACUUCUUGGUUGUAUAGCGCGAGUUAUGUUGCUUUCGUAACCUUAUAGAUAUUGGAACGAUUGUGGAAAUAUUUAAUAACAUUGAUCAAUGGUGUAAGUGUUCUUUAUAUUUUGGAAUUUUGUUCUUUCAAUUAUGCACUUGAGGUUUCCUUUUUCUUUGGGUCAUCAGACGCUUUUGACCAAAUCUCAUGACUUUGUUUUCCGACUGGAUGGCCAUUAUAAGGAGUUUUCUGUGACACCUGCUUAGUCCCCCUACACCUUUCCUGUGCCACCUACCCCUCCUUUGUCAAUCACAGCACAUUCCUGACGGCCAUGACAUGUGUACUAAUGAUCAGCUCACUGACUUGCAGAGCUGUGGCGUACUAGCCCGUAUCAUAAAAUCCUUAUAGGACCUGUUCGCACCAUCAAGAAAAUUUGCAUGACUGCAUUUCGCUUGUUCCUUUUAGGUGAGUCGUCUAUGUCCCCUGUUUACACCCUCUGCUUCUUCUUCUUUGCUUUCCCUUGUAAUUAUCAAGGUAUGCUUUUGUAGAGCGCUUCUUCAGAAAAUUGGAGGGCCUAUAAUAUAAGCCGCAACCUGCAUCCUCUCGCAUUCGAUAUGCCCUGCUUUUGACUUUAAUUGUUUGAACUGUUUGAACUUCGAUAUAUGCUUUACGUUGUCAGUUAAUCAAUCUCUGUUGAAAUCCACCAAAUGGAGCGACUUGCAUGUUUCAAAUUCUGGUUUAUUAGGCUAUGUUUAGGUUUAAACAUGCCAAUUUUUGACAUUGGUGGUAUUAAAUAUGACUCUGCUUUAUUCUAGAGAGUCGAGCUGAAUUCUACUAUUAGAUAGAUUUGUAGCCUUUUUUUCUUCUUUUUACUAUUAGAUAGAUUUGUAACCUAUUUUCUUCUUCUUUUAUAAUUGAAACGGGUGAUUUAAUUUGUUGUGUACAUAAAGGUUUAGCUCUGGUGCAACUUAAAUUAGAUGAAGUUCUUGCUUGGGUCUUCGUUCUAACUAAGAGUUGAAAGAAAUGAAAAUCGUCCUCUGUUGUGUAUUUGAAGACAUGAUACAUCAGGAUUACUGACUCUCACCAUUUAAUUUUGUUUUGGUUAAAUCUCACCAUUUAAAUUUAAAAUAUAAUGAAGUUCAUUUUUUUUAAUCUUUACAAUAGGGCUUGCUGCUGGUUGAACAUUGUUGCUUCAUUUCUUCCUUCUUUUUAAUCCUCAACCUUACUAUUCUCAUAUGCCUAAAUGUACCGUUCCAGGUCCAAUUAAGAGUAGAUAAAUCAAGCUACUGUUAAUGAACCAGGUAAUGUGGCAGUUGCCAACUUAGGAAGCAAAGCAAAAAGUAUACAUUUUAUUUAGUUGUGAACAAUUUGUAUUUUGUUUUUUAAUCAGUUAAUGUGUGCUUGUUUGGAGUUAAAACUAAGUGCUAAAAAUUAAGUACUUAAUGAAUUAUGUGCUUAAGUUGAUUUUGUUUGGCAUAAAAUGUGGAUGUACUCUUAGUUGUUAUUGUUAACAUUACAAGAAGACCCCAAAAAUUUUCUUUUCCUGAACUUUGACCAAAUAUUUGUAUUAUAUUAUUUUUUAUUUUUUAGAAAUUAAAAGAAUUGAUUUUUUUUAAAGGGACAGAACUCAAAACAUAGUGGUUGCGAUCAUCCAGAAGAGGGGCAAAAGCUGGUGGAGGCUCGUGAUAAUUUGAUUUUCAUCCAAGCCCUUCUGAAGCAGGAUUUGGUUCAGAAAGAAAAUUUUUAUAUGCACAAUACAUUGACAUGGGUUAUUUAUUGGAUUUAGUUUCGAAGAAUGAAUUCUUUCUCCACAUUUGCUCAGUCAUCUAAUAAUGCUCUCUUCUUUGGUUCUGAUUCAUUUUUGGAGAAUGUAGAGAUCUUUUUCGAAGCGCUUGUGAGAAUUUGAAUAUGCCUCUUUAAUUUCUCUUUUUUAUCAAAUUAUUUUGUUAUUUUGUGCCAGUGUGCAAGCCGAUAUGUAGUUUUAAAUGCUAAAUUGCCAUAGAUUCCCAUCUUUAUUUGCUUGAGGUUUGUUCUCUGGAGAUUCUUAAGUAAUGGGCACAUUUUGUUGUGAUCGACGUUUGAAUGGGUUUCGUGAAUCUAAGCAACCUCUCUCAAGUAUAUAGUCUUUCCUAUCCUUCUCUUCAUAUAUUUUUAUAUACUUAUGGCCUGCUCAUGAUUCUUAAAAUUUUUAUAUGAUUUUGUGUUUUUAAUCAGGAAUUCAACUCUUUGUUAUUAGAUUAUUAUCAACUUAUAUAAUGCAUAUGUAGGUUUUUAUGAACAAAUUUUUCUGAUAUUAUUUUAGCCUUAACUAAGUCAAACAAAAUUUCCUUCUUUUAUUCUCUAUGUUAUACAAUGUAGGUACUAAACCAAAUACUCAAACAUUCACCAUCCCAAACCAUUGAGAUUCUGAGGUGUCCUUUUCAAACUAUCUGUUACUUUUCUAAUAAUGAUAUGGGCUUGCUUGUUUACUCAUUAUAACUGAGAUGAGCCUAAAAUUCUCCUUUCUACUAGGACCAACAUUUGUGGGGUUAUCUUUUCGCUGAAAAAUUGCAUGAAGAAAGAAAAGAACCAUGGUUCGGGAGGAGUAGAGAAAACAUAUCAAUGCUGAAAAGGGGUAUAUCAUUAGCGUCCCAACAGGAGCACUAAUAUACUUCAUCAACCGAACUGAAAAUAAACACUCUAUAUUGCCAACUUCUUCCAGCCCAUUUAGCCAGCCAAUCCUUUUCAGAUAAGAGUUGCGCUUGCAACAGUUUCCUCACCAAUUAUAUUGAUUUUCAGUUAGCUAUACCACUACAAUUUCCGUUGUUUAUGGUGCAUUUGGUUUCAGAGUUAAAGUAACUUUAAUUUUGAUUGUGGAAAAGAACAAAUGAUUGUAUAGUAUAUCGAGUUAAAGUUAAAGUUAAAAUUUUUGACUUGGAAAAUGUGUAUUUUGUUGUGUAGUGUGUUGAGUUAAAGUUAAAGUUAAAAUUUUUGUGAUUUUAACUGCGAAACCAAAUGGAGCAUUUAAUGUUUACAUAGGACAGGAGGACAAAAUCCAACAUCAUUAUAGACUGCCUUAGUUGGGAGGGCACUGAAGCAGCUACGAAGGAAGAGACAAUUAAACUAGAAGACACAAGAUGGAAUGGCCAUGUGGACAACAAUAGUGAGUCUCCAUCAUCAAGUCUUCACCAAAGCAGAUUGAGCUGAGUUCGUUCCUAAUUUUUUUUUUCUUUUAUGGCAAAAAAAAUAGCAAUAGAUUAAAUAAUAUUUGAUUUUUUUUUUUGGAUUGUGGAUUGAAAAUUCAGGGUGAAACAGGUUUUAGUGUAAGGGGUUUGAGUAGUUGCUUGUUAUCUCAAGAAUUGAUCUCAUUUGGUGGAAGGUGAACAUAUGCAAACCCUGCCGUGGGAAGGUUAUAUUGUGUGAUGACUUUGAAGACAUCGACAAAAUACCAAUUGUCAUUUUAAAUAUAUAGAUAUAGAUGAGAAGUAUUAAUUUCGUUAUACCAA